rnacentral:tRNA from 1 species
GCGGCGGUGGUGUAAUGGUUAGCAUUCCUGCCUAGCAAGCAAGAAGAUCCGGGUUCGAGUCCCGGCCGCAGCA